AGCUCAGUUGGUAGAGCAUUUGACUUUUAAUCAAUUGGUCGCAGGUUCGAAUCCUGCACGACCCACCA
rnacentral:tRNA from 1 species